rnacentral:rRNA from 1 species
AUUGAACGCUAGCGGGAUGCCUUACACAUGCAAGUCGAACGAGUCGCGGACGGGAGUGCAAUAUAUCUGACCGUGCGCAGUAGCGGGGGUACACUACUCGAAAGAGAGGCCAAUACCGCACACUUUUGGAGCGGACGUUAUCGGUGUAGCGAGUUGGUGGGGUAAAGGCUCACCACGGCAACGAUCCGGAGCAGGUUUGAGAGGACGACCAGCCACACUGGGACUGAGACACGGCCCAGACUCCUACGGGAGGCAGCAGUGGGGAAUUUUGGACAAUGGGGGAAACCCUGAUCCAGCCAUCCCGCGUGUAUGAGAAGGUCUUCGGGUUGUAAAGUACUUUUGGCAGAGAAGCGGUAUCUACAGAAUAAGCACCGGCUAACUACGUGCCAGCCGCCGCGGUAAUUC